rnacentral:rRNA from 1 species
UAGAGUUUGAUCAUGGCUCAGGACGAACGCUGGCGGCGUGCUUUAGACAUGCAAGUCGAACGCGAAAGCCCUUCGGGGGUGAGUAGAGUGGCGAACGGGUGAGUAACACGUGGGUAACCUGCCCCUCGCAGGGGGAUAACCGGGGGAAACCCCGGCUAAUACCCCGUACGCUUGNUGGGGCGCAUGNUCCGGCAAGGAAAGGUAGCUUCGGCCAUCCGGCGAGGGAGGGGCCCGCGGCCCAUUAGCUAGUUGGUGGGGUAACGGCCCACCAAGGCGACGAUGGGUAGCUGGCCUGAGAGGGUGGUCAGCCACACUGGGACUGAGACACGGCCCAGACUCCUACGGGAGGCAGCAGCCAGGAAUCUUGCGCAAUGGGCGAAAGCCUGACGCAGCAACGCCGCGUGGGCGAUGAAGGCCUUCGGGUCGUAAAGCCCUGUUGUCGGGGACGAAGGGCGAAGGGUUAAUAGCCCCUAGCCUGACGGUACCCGACGAGGAAGCCCCGGCUAACUACGUGCCAGCAGCCGCGGUAAUACGUAGGGGGCGAGCGUUGUCCGGAAUCAUUGGGCGUAAAGAGCGUGUAGGCGGCCCGGUAAGUCCGCUGUGAAAACCCGGGGCUCAACCCCGGGCGUGCAGUGGAAACUGCCGGGCUAGAGGGCGGCAGAGGCGAGUGGAAUUCCCGGUGUAGCGGUGAAAUGCGCAGAUAUCGGGAGGAACACCGGUAGCGAAGGCGGCUCGCUGGGCCGUUCCUGACGCUGAGACGCGAAAGCUAGGGGAGCGAACAGGAUUAGAUACCCUGGUAGUCCUAGCCGUAAACGAUGGGCACUAGGUGUGGGGGGAGUCGAAUCCCUCCGUGCCGCAGCCAACGCGUUAAGUGCCCCGCCUGGGGAGUACGGCCGCAAGGCUAAAACUCAAAUGAAUUGACGGGG